rnacentral:rRNA from 1 species
GGAGGAAAAGAAACCAACAGGGAUUGCCCUAGUAACGGCGAGUGAAGCGGCAACAGCUCAAAUUUGAAAUCUGGCCCCCGGGUCCGAGUUGUAAUUUGUAGAGGAUGCUUUUGGUGCGGUACCUUCCGAGUUCCCUGGAACGGGACGCCAUAGAGGGUGAGAGCCCCGUCUGGUUGGACGCCAAUCCUUUGUAAAGCUCCUUCAACGAGUCGAGUAGUUUGGGAAUGCUGCUCUAAAUGGGAGGUAUAUGUCUUCUAAAGCUAAAUAUUGGCCAGAGACCGAUAGCGCACAAGUAGAGUGAUCGAAAGAUGAAAAGCACUUUGAAAAGAGAGUUAAAAAGUACGUGAAAUUGUUGAAAGGGAAGCGCUCAUGACCAGACUUGGGCUCGGUUGAUCAUCCAGGGUUCUCCCUGGUGCACUCUCCCGGCCCAGGCCAGCAUCAGUUCGCCGCGGGGGACAAAGGCGUCGGGAAUGUGGCUCCCUCGGGAGUGUUAUAGCCCGUCGUGCAAUACCCUGUGGUGGACUGAGGUUCGCGCAUUCGCAAGGAUGCUGGCGUAAUGGUCAUCAGCGACCCGUCUUGAAACACGGACCAAGGAGUCGUCUUCGUAUGCGAGUGUUCGGGUGUCAAACCCCUACGCGUAAUGAAAGUGAACGCAGGUGAGAGCUUCGGCGCAUCAUCGACCGAUCCUGAUGUUCUCGGAUGGAUUUGAGUAAGAGCAUACGGGGCCGGACCCGAAAGAAGGUGAACUAUGCCUGUAUAGGGUGAAGCCAGAGGAAACUCUGGUGGAGGCUCGCAGCGGUUCUGACGUGCAAAUCGAUCGUCAAAUAUGGGCAUGGGGGCGAAAGACUAAUCGAACCUUCUAGUAGCUGGUUUCCGCC